CAAGGAAUCUUCGGCAAUGGGCGCAAGCCUGACCGAGCAACGCCGCGUGGGGGAUGACGGCCUUCGGGUUGUAAACCCCUUUUCGGGGGGACGAAACGGACGGUACCCCCGGAACAAGCCCCGGCUAACUCUGUGCCAGCAGCCGCGGUAAGACAGAGGGGGCAAGCGUUGUCCGGACUUACUGGGCGUACAGCGCGCGCAGGCGGCCGAGUAUGUGCCCGGUGACAUCCCGCCGCUCAACGGCGGGCGGCCCGGGUAGACAGCUGGGCUAGAGACAGGGAGAGGGACGUGGAAUGCCCGGUGGAGCGGUGAAAUGCGUAGAGAUCGGGCGGAACACCAGUGGGGAAGCCGGCGUCCUGGCCCUGGACUGACGCUGAGGCGCGAUAGCGUGGGGAGCAAACGGG
rnacentral:rRNA from 1 species